rnacentral:rRNA from 1 species
AAACGAUGGCUAAUACCGCAUGAUGCCUACGGGCCAAAGAGGGGGACCUUCGGGCCUCUCGCGUCAGGAUAUGCCUAGGUGGGAUUAGCUAGUUGGUGAGGUAAGGGCUCACCAAGGCGACGAUCCCUAGCUGGUCUGAGAGGAUGAUCAGCCACACUGGAACUGAGACACGGUCCAGACUCCUACGGGAGGCAGCAGUGGGGAAUAUUGCACAAUGGGCGCAAGCCUGAUGCAGCCAUGCCGCGUGUAUGAAGAAGGCCUUCGGGUUGUAAAGUACUUUCAGUCGUGAGGAAGGUGGUGUAGUUAAUAGCUGCAUUAUUUGACGUUAGCGACAGAAGAAGCACCGGCUAACUCCGUGCCAGCAGCCGCGGUAAUACGGAGGGUGCGAGCGUUAAUCGGAAUUACUGGGCGUAAAGCGCAUGCAGGUGGUUUGUUAAGUCAGAUGUGAAAGCCCGGGGCUCAACCUCGGAAUAGCAUUUGAAACUGGCAGACUAGAGUACUGUAGAGGGGGGUAGAAUUUCAGGUGUAGCGGUGAAAUGCGUAGAGAUCUGAAGGAAUACCGGUG